CUGUAACUCCAAAUUUAGUGGAGUUUGAUUCUGUGGAAAACUAACUCGAUUGCGGUCGUUUUGGUCCCAGUUUGGUGAAUUAUUGAUCCAAAUUGAGUUCUGUGCGUAGCUUUGAACUUGAGGCUCAGAAGUAGAUUUUGUGCAAAAUUUUGGUGGGGGGCAAAAUCCAACAAAUUAUAAAAUAGGGGGGGUAAAAUUCCGCAUUUUAAAAUAGGGAGAUAAAAUUCCGCAUUUUUCAAAAUAAGGGGGUAAAACUGCAUUUAAGCCACAAAUAAUUUAAUUUUUGUAUUAAAUCAGAGGGAAAAGAAAAGUAUUACAAAGUGGAUGAGAAAAAACAGAAAAUGAAAACGAUGAAAUUAGUGAAAAUCUUAUGCAGAUUGUAAUAAUUAAAGAAAAUCCAGCGCAGUUGGUCGCGAGGGUGAAGCUUUUUCAAUUUUCGUCACUCCUUCUUCUCUCUCUCUCCCCUUUCAAACUCUUUCUUUCUCUCUCGCUCUAGAUCAACAAUUCUCAGUUUUCUCUUCGAUUUUCGGAGCUGAAAGAUCCAUAACC
rnacentral:lncRNA from 1 species